rnacentral:pre_miRNA from 1 species
UGAAAACUACGUUUGGAUUGUAAAAUAGAUGUUCGAGAUUCAUCCACGUCAUCACGAGUAAAAAUUGUAUUCACGGACCGUGAGUAUAAUUUUUACUUAUGAUGACAUGAAUGAAUUUCGAACGUCCAUUUUUUGAUGCAACGGUAAUUUUCG